GGUCCUGGGCAGCCUGAUCCAGUGGCAGGAGGUUGAAACUGAAAGGGUUUUAGGGUCCUGUCUAAUCAAAACCAUUCUGUGAUUCUAUGAUCUCUUCCAAUAUUGAUUAAGGUAAAAAUAAAAAUAUAACAGAUCUGAGAUGGGCUUUUGAAUAAAGAUCUAUUAUAAAUACAGAUAGAAAAGGACAGUGUUUUUUCUUUACUGAGCUUCAGUGUAUUCUGCCGAAAAUCUAUGAAUGAUUAUCUACAGGACAAUCUUGACUAAUGCCUCUACCCUUCAAUUCAAAUGCUUUACAGUGCAUCUUAAGAAUAUCGUAAUUUUCCAAUAUUUUUUGUAAUAAAAGCUUUAAAUGUUGACUUUCACAGCGGAGAACUCCUUUCUCUUUUAAAUUUGCAAGUGUGGUGUGUAGUCAAAUGAAGGUUCCUUGGCAAAGACUUAAGUUUAACUGCACAAGCUGCUUUUGAAGUAUGAAAACUGAAAAUAAAUUGUUUUCAUUUUUUACAGCGGAAGACCUUGAUUUUUGAAAAAACAUAUAAAAUAUAUCUUGUUUGAGGAAUUCUCUCUUUUGAUUAGUGUAAGAAAGCAUCAGGAUUAUUGCUAAGUAGAAUUUUUUUUGCUGUAAGUCUGUAUUCAGUGCAUUGCAGCUACUACAAAUACUUGAACAGCAGUUAAAAAGAAGCUUUUUUUGCUAAAUCUUCCAGUACUUAACAGCCCUUUUUACACAUUUGGCGGAACUGUGCCCCUGGGAAGUGAAGGAAGAGAAAAGACAGAGAGGCUUGCCUAUGUUCAGACAUAAUACUUGAGUAUGUAAACCUGCAGAGAUGAGACCUCUGAACCUGUUUAAUGAUUUGCUACUGCUGAAAGAUUUUAGCUACUGCUGAAAGAUUUUAGCUUCUGCUCUCCCCUACUUCCUAUUCUGUCCUCCCUUACUUCUACCUCCAUGGUCCAACUUCUUUUAUAGGUGCUGGUGCUUGUUCAACCGCUCAUGAGCUGAUUCAGCUCACUGAGACAGCAGAAAGCAGGGUUGGGCUGUGGAUAUUUUGUUUUCAUUUGUUUGUUUGUUUGGCUGAACCAGGCAGGCUUUUGCCAUUGUAUUCAUAUCAUAUUUGUCAUGGAAGAAUCUGGACACACACAUAACUAAAACACAGUCAUUGUCCUGAAAAACAUAGGUUAUUUUAGAAAUCAGUAGAAUUUAGGUAUGUGUUUAAGCUAUUGCUAGUUCAGGACUCAAUAAAAAAAUAAAUAAAUAAGUAAAUAAAAUCUCCAUUGGAACAUAAAAUCAGGAUAUUCUGAUAUAUUCUGUUAAACAACAACGUACCGGAAUUUCAGAACCAGACCUUCUGAAUUUCUGAGAUCCUUGUCACCCCAGAACAAUUGAGAAACAAGUCUUUUCAUUUUAAACUCUGCUUGGUGUUUAUGAUUUCACAGACACUGGGAAAGUCAAGGUUAAAUUGGCUUCCUCCUCAAAUUUAAAUGUGGUGUGCUUUCCCCUCCUUAACCUCUCUGCUUUUAGCCCCUUGUGCUUUCCAGAGCAUUCAGAGGGAGACUGCUUUCUCUACCUUGUUCAUAAAUGCAACCUCUCUCCCUUUCUCUGUUUUUCUUUUGUCCGUUUUUUCUUUGUUCUUAAAUAGGCAUGUUUCCUUUUAAUUGAAAAUGAUAAUGGGUAAAAAUGGGUGUUGGACUUGAUGAUCUCUAGAGGUCCUUUCCAACCCCUACAAUUCUGUGAUUCUGUGAAAACAUCAGGAAUUAUUUAUCAAAAUGCUGGCAUUUUAAAUCCAUAUUGGAAAACUGUAAAAGUGGUAAGCUGAGCUCCACUAUAACUCCAUCAGGACUUUUUAGUUUUCCUAUUCAUUUAGCAGUUCUAAUAGCAUUAAUAUUGUUGCAGGUCAUAAUUAAUGAUGCUUAUGAAAAAGCAUUGUUUUUUUUUCUGGUACGAGGUUUCUUUUUCUUUAAUUCAUUCAAGUGAGAAGAAUGCACCCUAUCAAUCUUGAUUUUUUGAAAUUUGAUUGUUACUGAUCAAUGUGUUGUACUUUAUUUCUGCAGCUAUACUAAGACAUCAGUAAAAUACUAGCUGAGAAUAGUAAGCCUCCCUAAAGGCCUUAAUUAGACAUAACAUCCUAGUAGGUGUGUUCAAGAGUUGCAUAUUUUAAGACCUACAUUUUAACCUAAAACAUAUUUGCUAUUAGAAGCAGAGAUCAAGCCUUCUCAGAUUAUUCUGUGCACAAGGAAGAUCUUGGAAUUUGCCUCUUUGAGGCAUAAUGUGGAUGGUUUUACCUUUAGCUAGUGUCAGAGAUGAAGAUGAAAGGAUUUGAACCAAUGAUUCAUUGUCUUUUAACUUGUUGACAGCCUUUUCUUCAAAUCUAAGUAUAGAUAUACCCUCUGACAGCAGUAACUACAGCCCGUCUAUAGUGAUAUGAUGUUCCUUCCUGCCUAUGUCUUGAGAGGGACUGAAGGAACUAGCUCUUUGUAAGGAAAAUCUAGUUAAAAUGCCUGUUAUUAAAAUCUAAGUACAUAUUCUUGUAUUACACCUCAUAAGGAAAGGGAAGAAGAAGCUUUGUAUGAGGGAAUAAAGUCUUAUGCAUACCCUAGAUCUAAGUAUCUGUAAUAACACUUGUGCUGUAGAUGGUGAAAGCACAGAUUGUGCUCUAGAUGCACAGGGUAAGGAUAGCAGUAGUAAAUGAACUGAGAUUACAGCAAACUAAUUGGUGCAUGAUUUGCCUCAAAUAUCAAGAAUAUUGCUGAACCAUGUAGUCUUUCCUGUGUGGAAACAUGAUAUUGAGCAUCCAUAAAGCAGAAAAAUAAGUAACGCCAUUUGUCUCUUUGCUUUUCUAGUAGCAUACACGAAAUAGAUUGGGUAGAAGUUGACAACCAUGGAUUAUAUAGAUCAGAGAAAAAAGGAGAGAGUUUUGAGUUUUGUUCUGUUCUUUUUGCCUCCAGCAGUUGAAUGUGGAAUGAAAAAAAUAAGAAAUAACUUCUUUCUUGAUGUGUCAUAGGUUACACAUCUUCAAUUAUAAACCUUAACCUUGGCCUAAAUGCCUUCCAAAAUUAUCAGAGUUUUCUAAAACCCGUGGUAUAUGACUAGCUGAACAACAGUUCCAGAGCAAGUGGUUUUCAAUGUGAGAAGUAUAGAACGAACCUUACUUGGGCACUUUCACAAUACAAAGCUUUAAGAGAGCCUGGUCCUAAAUGAUUUCCUCCAGUAUGCAGAUCCAGAGUCAGUGUGAUUACUUACUGUUGGCUUUGCAGAUGAACAAGCUGUUUUGCAACUGUUUUUAAAAAUGUUUUGCUGCCAUUAAUUUAGCAGUCACUUUUUUUUUGGUGGGAUUUUCUAAUUUCAGAACUUGAGGUUUAUCUACACAGUUCAAUUCAUGAAAAUUAAUGUGAGUCAAUGAAAGAUACAGCUUAGAAAUAGAUCAGUUAAACAUCAUUAAAACCCCCAAGGGCCUUCUUAUCCAGAAUUCAAGUGGUCCUAAUUUAAUUUAAUUUACUUCUACACUGAAGUUAGAUCAUUCAAAUGUAAUUCUAAAGGAGAACAUGCACAUUAGGGUUUAAUGCAGUUUUACAGCUUCUCUUUAAAGUAACAUUUUUAGUUAAUUCACUUCCUGAUUGUCUCCAUAUAAAUAAAUCCCUAAUCCCACAAGUGUUUUCAGUUCUGGCUAAUCCUUGACACUUCUUAAUAAGGGACUGCAUAAUCCAGAUAGUGUCUCUACCAAUUGCUGAGCUGGAAAAUAUCCAAUUUCCAGAGUCUGCUGCAUCUGUUAAGACUUUGUCCCUGACUGUUCAGGUUUACCAGCAAACUGUAGGGCAAUUGUAAGGCAGGCUAAGAUCUAUAGGUUUUUGUUUCCCAAAUCAAUUAGCUGAUACUAAUACAAUCAGACUCUCAUCUAUUAACCAAGCUAAAAAGCUUUUAAGCUGAUCUGCAGGGGAUAUCUUUAGCAUCUUCAUCCAAACAUCCCCUCAGGGGUGAACCAUUUUCAGCUAAAUGUCUUGCGUGAGAGGAUGCUUGAACCCUGCUAUAAUGAUGAGGGGAGCUGUGAAGUAAAGACACUGCGAUGAAGUACAGAUGCGGAUUGCGAUGGCACUGUGGAAGCGCAGUGGCCCUUGCGAACAGCAAGUGAUACUCUUCCACAGCAGCCAACAUCCUCCAUGACAAAUCUGUAUCAUAAUUUUAUACUGUCAUGUUUUAUCCCUGCCUGGUAAUUUAGUGUCACAGUAUGAUAGCACAUGCAAAGAUAUGGAUUUUCCCAGUCACAUUGAACAAUGUUGAAGAAUGUAGAGACUUUUCAUUUUUUUCCACGUGCAUCUUAACUUUACCAAACUAAGGACAGUUCAAACUUGAUGGGAAGGCAAUAAAAUCAGAUACAUUCUCCUCGGAAAAAUGAAAAUAUUUAGGUAUUGUAUGUUUAUAGAAGACAACAGAAGUGCGCAAACAAGACAUGAAGUGAAGAUACAGAACACAAAGCGAUUUUUAAAAUUAGAAAUACAGUUUGUUUUCUUCAUGGUAUUGUUAACUCCAGAAGUAUGACACUGAAUUGCACUGUAUUAUGAGUACACAGCAAGUAUUUAUCUCACUUUUGACAUCCAUGUAUUCCAAUUUCUGAAUUGUUACUUUUGACAAUGUAUGGUUAAGCUCAAUUAUGUAGAAAAUCUACAUUUUUCAGGUGACAUGACUUCAUGGUCCAUGGCCGGGACUUACUGACAUUAGUGGUCAAGCAAUAGUAAAAGUAAAUAUAUGCUUACUUGAAUGUUUAUGCCUGCUCUGGGAAGAUUUAUUUUUAACAAUGUGUUUUAGACUUCUUCCAGCUUAAAUAUGCAGUUUUCUAGGAUAAAAAUAUGUCUUUCUUUUUUUCUCAUAUAUUUGAAUCUAUUUAUUGAUGUAGUAGUAUAUUAUAUUUAAGAAUUUGACUAGGAAUAGACUUGAUUCUUUAAUACAGAAAACUUUGUGCUACUACAAAGACAAUGGUGAAAUUUCCCAUCAGCACAGGAUGGCUACAUUAUCUACUCUUUAUUCUAAUUUAGAACAACUGUAAAUGAUUAUGCAAGAACAAGGCAUAUGGGAACCUGGCCAGAUCGAGAUUUUUUUUUUUUAUCUGGUGGUAGAAUUAGUAACUAGUGAUAGAAUUAGUAUCUGAUGAAUAGAUUACUGUUUUUACUGUUGUUAUCUGCUACAUUUUACAUGGUUAGAUAGUAACUAAGAACUUCAAGCCUCUUGCGCACUAUUUCUCUGAAGGUACUAUUUGAUAUGAAGAUUUUUAGCAAUAUCUUUUGUUUCU